rnacentral:tRNA from 2 species
GCCUUUUUAACUCAGCGGUAGAGUAUUUGCAUGGUAAGCAAAAAGUCGCCGGUUCAAUUCCGGUUGAAGGCU